GAUGAACGCUGGCGGCGUGCCUAAUACAUGCAAGUCGAGCGAACGGACGAGAAGCUUGCUUCUCUGAUGUUAGCGGCGGACGGGUGAGUAACACGUGGAUACCCUACCUAUAAGACUGGUAUAACCUCGGGAAACCGGAGCUAAUCCCGGAUAAUAUUCUGAACCGCAUGGUUCAAUAGUGAAAGACGGUCUUGCUGUCACUUAUAGAUGGAUCUGCGCUGCAUUAGCUAGUUGGUAAGGUAACGGCUUAUCAAGGCAACGAUUCGUAGCCGACCUGGGAGAGUGAUCGGCCACACUAGAACGGAGACACGGUCCAGAGGCCUACGGGAGGCAGCAGUAGGGAAUCUUCCGCAAUGGGCGAAAGCCUGACGGAGCGACGCCGCGUGAGUGAUGAAGGUCUUCGGAUCGUAAAACUCUGUUAUUAGGGAAAAACAUAUGUGUAAGUAACUGUGCACAUCUUGACGGUACCUAGUAAGGAAGCCACGGCUAACUACGUG
rnacentral:rRNA from 1 species